rnacentral:lncRNA from 1 species
CUUUCCCUUCUUUUCUUCUCGCCCUCUCACAGCCACCUCUUUGCAUCCACUCCCUCCUGCAAUUUGCAAAGCUCCCCUGUCUCUCGCGCUUCAAGGUGCCAAGAGGACAAGGAACCCCCUCUUUGUAGGAAGAGAUUGAAGCCGAGACACCAGAGAGCCCCCGGCUGAUCUGACUGUCGCUAUUUUUCGUUGUAACUUCAGGAGAGGAGGAAAGAAAAUUCUUG